CGGACAGUCGUGAUAACCCGGCACAGAAGCAGAGUCGCAUUUCGGAGCGUCCACUCGUAACACGGCUUCUCGCACACGAAGCCCAUAGUCCAGGGGAGAGAAGGCCAGGGCGGCCCUGGAGAGUUUGUAGGUGCAGGCUGAUCGGCGGUGGAGACCCUGUCGGGCUCAGGAAGGCACUGUUCUUUCAUCAUUUCCUUCCCAGCAUGCACUUGUACAUGCUGUACACUCCACUCUCUUCAUUACCACAACAGGACUACAAAAUCUUUAGAGGAUGAACAGCCAAACAAGGUGACUUACCGCCUGCCAGGAGAGCUUAUUAAAGGAUUUCAUUUCUUGAGCAUCCAGGGAGGAGUCAAAACAAACAAACAAACAAACAAAAACUCAUGUUACCUUGCAAAAGAUGACAAUCUUUUGAAAAUCAAAAUUCCUAAGCCAGUGACCAUUGGAGAAGCCUGGCCGACAUUUUGUUGAGUAUCGUG
rnacentral:lncRNA from 1 species